rnacentral:rRNA from 1 species
GAUGAACGCUGGCGGCGUGCCUAAUACAUGCAAGUCGAGCGAACAGACGAGGAGCUUGCUCCUCUGACGUUAGCGGCGGACGGGCGAGUAACACGUGGAUAACCUACCUAUAAGACUGGGAUAACUUCGGGAAACCGGAGCUAAUACCGGAUAACAUGUUGAACCGCAUGGUUCAACAGUGAAAGACGGUCUUGCUGUCGCUUAUAGAUGGAUCCGCGCCGCAUUAGCUAGUUGGUAAGGUAACGGCUUACCAAGGCAACGAUGCGUAGCCGACCUGAGAGGGUGAUCGGCCACACUGGAACUGAGACACGGUCCAGACUCCUACGGGAGGCAGCAGUAGGGAAUCUUCCGCAAUGGGCGAAAGCCUGACGGAGCAACGCCGCGUGAGUGAAGAAGGUCUUCGGAUCGUAAAACUCUGUUAUUAGGGAAGAACAAAUGUGUAAGUAACUAUGCACGUCUUGACGGUACCUAAUCAGAAAGCCACGGCUAACUACGUG